CUUAUUUCCAGACACUUGAAAGUUCGAGUGACAGGACUGGAGUGGGAGGCUUGUUUGGUUUUCUUGUGAAGGUGGCAAAUUAUAAAGAGAGUAGCAUUCCAGUGAGGUGUGCCUCAGCCUUUAAAAUGCUUUCAUUUAUCAGUUGUUAUCAGCUAAUCAAGAAUAAUCAUGAGCAGGGAGCCUAAGGAUGAGGUUAAAAGAGACUGGGCACAAAGGUGGGACUGUAUUGCCUCAGGUAGCCUCAGCAAUGCUUUGCAGUCUGAGGUAUUGGCAACGGGAGCAAUGAGAUGCAGCUUUAUCCAGCAAGGCUAGGAGAGGUGUUUUACAAGGGCUGACUGUAGGGUUGCUGACCUUAACAAAGAAAGAUUUCUUAUACUAUGUGCGAAUGAAUUUUUAAUGGGAAAAAAAAUGAAAUGUGUUAUAUUUUGAUUUGUUGAUGGAAAAAUGCUGCACAGCAUGUCUCAUAAGCAAUAUAGCACGUGUCACUAAACACCAGGGAUGAGAGGUAAAACAGAAUAUCCUUUGGGAGAUGGAACGUACUGGGACAACUGAGCAUCUGCACUGCAAGCCUCUUGCACAGAAUCAGUAUUCAUUGGUUCAUUCUGCUUCAGUUUGAAAACAUUUUCUCAACAUUCACAUUUUACAUAGAACUGGUACUUAAAUUUCUCAGCAGUCUCCUUAGCUGAUCUGCUUUCCAUCUGAAAAUUUCUAUUUAAACUCUGUUGUAUCCUCCCAAAAACAUAGGAUGUCUUGAUCAAACCUGUUCUGACACAAAUCUCCCUUCCCAAGUGAUACUGGAUAUCUGUUUGGCAUUGCAGAUCUAAGAAUGUAAUACAGAGUUAUUUUUCCAUUUAAACAUGAAUUCAAUUGCCAAGGCCAGCAUCUUCACUACCCCACUUAAGCAUGUAUGCAUGCUAAAUCCAUUAUUCAUACUGUCUGUAUGUCAUCAGCAGAAAUUUGCCUACGUGCUCCUUCAGAAAUGGGCUGCCACUGCAUAGCCUCACCUAACCAGCCGUGGAUGAGCGACGAGGACAAGAAAUGUUGGAUUAACUCAGGGGUCUGUGGCUGUCCUUUGUUCUAAAGCUGGUUCAUGAAGAGUUAGAGAGAAACUAGACCAUCCAGGAAAAAAGAGCAAAACAGCGGAAUAUCCUCAGGGAAUCACCAGACUUUCCUCAGCUAGCUAUACAGGUAAGCAGUAAAUCAUGUUGAAAAUUAAUAAUUAGAUGCAUUCGCAGCUGUUUUUGCAAAACUGUUAUUCCAAAGUGCGGAGCCC
rnacentral:lncRNA from 1 species